rnacentral:rRNA from 1 species
GUUAAGCGACUAAGCGUACACGGUGGAUGCCCUGGCAGUCAGAGGCGAUGAAGGACGUGCUAAUCUGCGAUAAGCGUCGGUGAGGUGAUAUGAACCGUUAUAACCGGCGAUUUCCGAAUGGGGAAACCCAGUGUGUUUCGACACACUAUCAUUAACUGAAUCCAUAGGUUAAUGAGGCGAACCGGGGGAACUGAAACAUCUAAGUACCCCGAGGAAAAGAAAUCAACCGAGAUUCCCCCAGUAGCGGCGAGCGAACGGGGAGGAGCCCAGAGCCUGAAUCAGUGUGUGUGUUAGUGGAAGCGUCUGGAAAGGCGUGCGAUACAGGGUGACAGCCCCGUACACAAAAAUGCACAUAUUGUGAGCUCGAUGAGUAGGGCGGGACACGUGGUAUCCUGUCUGAAUAUGGGGGGACCAUCCUCCAAGGCUAAAUACUCCUGACUGACCGAUAGUGAACCAGUACCGUGAGGGAAAGGCGAAAAGAACCCCGGCGAGGGGAGUGAAAAAGAACCUGAAACCGUGUACGUACAAGCAGUGGGAGCCUCUUUAUGGGGUGACUGCGUACCUUUUGUAUAAUGGGUCAGCGACUUAUAUUCUGUAGCAAGGUUAACCGAAUAGGGGAGCCGAAGGGAAACCGAGUCUUAACUGGGCGUUAAGUUGCAGGGUAUAGACCCGAAACCCGGUGAUCUAGCCAUGGGCAGGUUGAAGGUUGGGUAACACUAACUGGAGGACCGAACCGACUAAUGUUGAAAAAUUAGCGGAUGACUUGUGGCUGGGGGUGAAAGGCCAAUCAAACCGGGAGAUAGCUGGUUCUCCCCGAAAGCUAUUUAGGUAGCGCCUCGUGAAUUCAUCUCCGGGGGUAGAGCACUGUUUCGGCAAGGGGGUCAUCCCGACUUACCAACCCGAUGCAAACUGCGAAUACCGGAGAAUGUUAUCACGGGAGACACACGGCGGGUGCUAACGUCCGUCGUGAAGAGGGAAACAACCCAGACCGCCAGCUAAGGUCCCAAAGUCAUGGUUAAGUGGGAAACGAUGUGGGAAGGCCCAGACAGCCAGGAUGUUGGCUUAGAAGCAGCCAUCAUUUAAAGAAAGCGUAAUAGCUCACUGGUCGAGUCGGCCUGCGCGGAAGAUGUAACGGGGCUAAACCAUGCACCGAAGCUGCGGCAGCGACACUAUGUGUUGUUGGGUAGGGGAGCGUUCUGUAAGCCUGUGAAGGUGGCCUGUGAGGGUUGCUGGAGGUAUCAGAAGUGCGAAUGCUGACAUAAGUAACGAUAAAGCGGGUGAAAAGCCCGCUCGCCGGAAGACCAAGGGUUCCUGUCCAACGUUAAUCGGGGCAGGGUGAGUCGACCCCUAAGGCGAGGCCGAAAGGCGUAGUCGAUGGGAAACAGGUUAAUAUUCCUGUACUUGGUGUUACUGCGAAGGGGGGACGGAGAAGGCUAUGUUGGCCGGGCGACGGUUGUCCCGGUUUAAGCGUGUAGGCUGGUUUUCCAGGCAAAUCCGGAAAACCAAGGCUGAGGCGUGAUGACGAGGCACUACGGUGCUGAAGCGACAAAUGCCCUGCUUCCAGGAAAAGCCUCUAAGCAUCAGGUAACAUCAAAUCGUACCCCAAACCGACACAGGUGGUCAGGUAGAGAAUACCAAGGCGCUUGAGAGAACUCGGGUGAAGGAACUAGGCAAAAUGGUGCCGUAACUUCGGGAGAAGGCACGCUGAUAUGUAGGUGAAGCGACUUGCUCGUGGAGCUGAAAUCAGUCGAAGAUACCAGCUGGCUGCAACUGUUUAUUAAAAACACAGCACUGUGCAAACACGAAAGUGGACGUAUACGGUGUGACGCCUGCCCGGUGCCGGAAGGUUAAUUGAUGGGGUUAGCGG